rnacentral:lncRNA from 1 species
AGCAAAGGUGUAGUCGGGUAGUUUCUAACUCUGCACGGCCUGUUCUCUGAGAUCGAGGUUAUUCUCUUCCUUUGCUUCUUAACGAGUUUCUAAGUGCGCUUUUAUUUUCGCACCGUCUCUUCCUUUUUUUCACUCGCUUUCAGUGUUUGAACUUCAUUUUACAUUGCAGCUGUCUUUUGUUUUGCUGCAGUUAUCGUUUUCUGCUUCUGGCUUGCGUGAUCGUGAUGUGCUCUUCAAGGUUCAUUUAUCUCGGUUAAGUAUUUCAUGAAUCUGAACCUCUUGUCUACCUAUUUAAUUAUUUUUGUAUCUUUCUUUGAUCAUGAAAGAGUUAAUAUCCAAGCAACAUGUUAAUAAUCCCGUAAAAUGGGAUAUUGUAAUUCACAAUUUGCUUGAUAUACUCAUAACUUCAACAGUUGAUUUUCUAAUCAAACUAUAUAUUCCUAUACAAUUGUAUGCAAAUUUUACAGAAUAAAAGCCACGUCUAGGAUAUUUAAUCCGACCCAUAUAAACUUUAUCUAAUAACAAAAACUGUACUCAAAAUAAUAUCAAAAUCAAAAUUUGUUACUAGCAUGACAAAAGAAACGUAGCCGGCUGCACCUCAAAUUGCAAAGAAAGAGUGAUGACCAAUGAAAAUAUGAUCCAAGUGAACUACCCUGCCACUUCUUGUAAUCAUGACCAAAAAACCAAAAUCAUUUUGUAAUCACACGCCAAGGAAAGUAAUUUGUUGUUUCUUUGACAUUCGAUUCCUAGAAGUCAAAAUUAAAAUGCAUAAUUGCUUUUGAGAGGGGGGGUAAUUUUCAAUUUUCAGUGAUCAUGCAUGCAUGAACCUUUGCACUUCAAUGUACAACAAACAUGUUCGAUAAAGAAACUCUAUGCUGCCAACACAUUUCCACUAUCACCACAAAAAAAUAGCAACACUACCUCAGUCUUGAUCUAAUUCAGCCUGAAUUGCAUGCAAGUUCUUAACUUCAGAAUUCCCAUAUCUUGAAGCAGCAAAGCCAUAUGAUGCCACAGUUCCCACAAGGACCACAAGAACCGCAACAAAGAGCUGAAUGUUAGCAAGCAAUUCGCCCCAAACCUCGCUAUCAAUAGAAUCACACGUGACACUGUUUUCCCUAAGCUUACAACCACUUGGCAUCACUGGGCCAUAGAGAACAAAGGCAGUCUGAUAGAACCAUAAGCUUUGCAGUGCUAUAGCAAUGUCAUUGCAUAAAUCCACUGGAAUAGGAUGCAAGUACAGCACAGGUAUGUUUCUCCUCUUUCUUCCUUCUUCCAUUUAUUUUAACUUUUUCUUUUAAAAUGAAUUAAUUUUUCUUGAUCUCCAUUUUUUUUUCUUGUUUUUAAUCAUGUGCCUAUAUACUAAUGAAAGAAAUGUUUUUUUUAUCACUCCUCUACUUUGUGUCUGCAUUUUUAUUAAGAGAAAGGAAGAAAAGGUUAACAAUUUUUAUAUUUUUAAAAUAAAUACUCUAAAAUCUAUAACUAUUAAUAAUAAUAAUUAUCCCAUUCUGGUGUACGCAAUUUGAAUUUCUUAUUUAUCCUUUAUAUAUUUAUAAUCUAUAACAAUAUAUAUAUAUAUAUAUAUAUAUAUAUAUAUAUAUAUAUAUAUAUAUAUAUAUAUAUAUAUAAAAGAAAUAUUCUUUUUUGUGUACACAUUUUGUCUCUUGCCACUAAAUUAAUUAAUAAAAAAAUUACUACAUAUUAUUCUUACCUUGCAACUGAUAAUGUAAAACGCAUAAACUGAACAUGAUAAAUUUUUUAAAUGGACAAUUUUUGUCUCAACUUCUUCUUAGUAACCACCCAUUUUCCCUAUUCUCUUCCGGACAUGGAUACCUUUACGCAUUAAUCAUGUUGUAACUGCAUGGUUGUUGUUUCAUUUUUUAUUCAUCAUUUAUGAAUCUUUUUCCAUUUUCUAUUUUGUUCCUUCUCUCUCUUCCUUUCUCUGAUCCAUUUAUGAAUUAGUUUAAUUGAACUUGCGUUUGGCCUCUCCUCAAACUGCUUUUCAUUAAUGUGUUGUAAUAAUGUAACGCAUUUUUUUUCAGGUUGAGAGUGCACAAGUUGAAACGUCAGCGUGCAAUUAUGGUGAACAACAACAAAUAAGGUCUCCAUGCAAGAGGUGGAUUCAACGGAGGAGGAGCAUAUCACCAAAACCAAAUCUCGCUGCAUUCUAUCGCCAGUGCCGCCGCAGAAAAUGCCGACGGAGUCAGAGCUCGAAGGUUUCUUCGCCGCUGCGGAGAAAGACAUUCAAAAACACUUCGGAGAAAGAGUUUUUAAAAUGUGAAAUUAAAACUGAAUUAAAAAUAUGGGGUAUAUAUAUAUAUAUUGAAGUGUUUGAAAUUUUGCAUAUUUUAUUUAUUUAUGUUCAUUAAUC